UUAGCACGUGUCAUUUCUGCAGAAAAACAAAAAUGCCAACCAGCUUUUAUAUACAAAAUUAAAUAGGCUUACCGGUAUACAUGCAUACAUACACACAUACGUGCUUUUAUACGUACAUACUCUAAUUUAUAGAUCUCAUUCCGGUUAUUCUGCGUUCAAAGCCUCUAUAACAACUACUACAUGCAUAAUUUGCAGUUUGUGUAUACAGGCACCAAUCAACAGUCAUAGAUUAAGCGCUCACUACACUAAAAAUAAAAAUCACCGCUUUUCAAGGACCAACACCUGGCAACUACGGAAGCGCUGGAGUCAGUACCCCAGUUGGAUCAUCGAGUACGGAUGUGGCGGGCAGGUUAUUCUCGAAAGAAUUAAACACAUUUCCAUGGCAAGCCAAGAGACAGGAACCAUAACCUGAUCACAUAAACAUUUUCCGCAAGUUCGGGCUGCCUGGCAACAUCCGGGCUUAUUGCAGACGUCAACCUUGAAUCAGCGAAUCUUCCGAGAUGUGAUAUGUACCGGUGUGUUGCAAGAGGACGUUGCACGGUCUGGUAUCAUCACCAACAACUCGUCUUGUCGAAGGGUUCAUCACGGGACGAGAGGAAAGAUGGAAAUGUCUGUGACAGACAGCGAUGGAGAAACCUUUGUUUUUAAUGAUAAUGGAACGGUCAACUUUAUCAAACAUCUGAAUAGCAAGAGGGAUGCCGAAAGAACGAAAUGCAACAGCAGGAAGAACGUGACACAUUACUGCAAGAACUAUUUGGAAGAC